GACGAACGCUGGCGGCAUGCUUAACACAUGCAAGUCGAACGGGAAACCCGGGACACGGUGUUUCCAUUGGCGGACGGGGGGGUAACGCGUAAGAACCUGCCCUUGCCUGGGGAAUAACAGCUGGUAACGGCUGCUAAUACCCCGUAGGCUGAGGAGCACUAGGGGGAAUGCGCCCGAGGAGGGGGUCGCGUCUGAUUAGCUAGUUGGGGAGGCAAUAGCUUACGAAGGCGAUGGUCAGUAGCUGGUCCGGGGGGAGGAUCAGCCACAGUGGGACUGAGAGACGCAGCAGACUCCGACAGGAGGCAGUGGGGGGGAAUUUACCGCAAUGGGCGAAAGGAUGACGGAGCGAUGCGGGGGGGAGGAAGAAGGCCCGCGGGUCGAGAACUUCUUUUCCCGGAGAAGAGGGAAUGACGGUAGCUGGGGAAGAAGCAUCGGCUAACUCUGUG
rnacentral:rRNA from 1 species